UUCUUGAUUUUGCAGUCUUACCUGAACCAGAAUACGAUCUACCAAUAUUUUGCGCCAACUUUUUCACGACUGCUAGCCUAAGCAUAGUGGUCUUAGAGCAAGCCAACAAAAUACACUAAACAGAGGCAAAAGAAAGAUGCUCUACCGCACGGGGUGGCAAGUCAAGAAAUCCACCUGAUGUGGAAAAAAUGUUCUAUGAAACCUGAAAGAAAGCUAAUGAAACACUAGAUACUGGGGAUCAAGAUAAAUAUGAUGAAAUUGUUCAAGUCAAACUAGCAAACCCUUCACUUUCAGACAUUGCGAUAGUUGAGAAAAACUAGGGGAAGCAAUCUUAUGGUCACAUCAUUGUAUUUAGUGGUGGGACUAUUUUGAAAGAUUUGAGAGGAUCGCUCCCUAGUCGAUCUGAUCUGGAAGCACGAGUUAUAGAAGAAAAGAGAGAACCAGAUGUUUCAACAACGCUUAGAUGAGCAGGAGUAACAUCAACAUCAAUAACAACAUCAACAACAACAAAGGAUGUCUGACUUAGAGUCACAAAUGAAAGCUAUGCAGGAAUUUUUUUAGGCAAUCAUCUUCAUUAACUCCUCAAACUCGAGAACAUGUGCAGAACUAGGCUAUCCAUGCAAGAUUAGGAGGGGGUUACUCGAGUCUUCUUUUGACGAUGAUUAAAGAUGAAAGAUGUGUCUUUCUCAGACUUUUAUUUUAAUUUGUUUUAGAUAGUUUCAUGUAUUUUUCUUUGUUUUAGAUAGUUUCAUGUAUUUUUCUU